rnacentral:rRNA from 1 species
CAGCAGCCGCCACGGGAAUACGAAGGGGGCUAGCGUUGCUCGGAAUGACUGGGCGUAAAGGGCGCGUAGGCGGCACAGACAGUCAGAAGUGAAAUUCCUGGGCUCAACCUGGGGACUGCUUUUGAUACGUCUGAGCUAGAGUGGAGAAGAGGGUUGUGGAAUUUCCAGUGUAGAGGUGAAAUUCGUAGAUAUUGGAAAGAACACCGGUGGCGAAGGCGGCAACCUGGUCUUUUACUGACGCUGAGGCGCGAAAGCGUGGGGAGCAAACAGGAUUAGAUACCCCCGUAGUCCCUGUCUCUUAUAC